AGACAAAGUUAGGGUUUUGCCCA
rnacentral:snRNA from 1 species